CCUACGGGAGGCAGCAGUGGGGAAUAUUGGUCAAUGGGGGAAACCCUGAAGCAGCAACGCCGCGUGAAGGAUGAAGGUUUUCGGAUUGUAAAGUUCUUUUGUUAGAGAAGAUGAUGACGGUGUUUAACUAAUAAUCACCGGCUAACUCCUUGCCAGCAGCCGCGGUAAUACGGCGGGUGCAAGCGUUACUCGGAAUCACUGGGCGUAAGGAGCGCGUAGGCGGGGUAGCAAGUCAGAUGUGAAAUCCUAUGGCUUAACCAUAGAACUGCAUUUGAAACUGUUUUUCUAGAGUAUGGGAGAGGUAGGUGGAAUUCUUGGUGUAGGGGUAAAAUCCGUAGAGAUCAAGAGGUAUACUCAUUGCGAAGGCGACCUGCUAGAACAUAACUGACGCUGAUGCGCGAAAGCGUGGGGAGCAAACAGGAUUAGAUACCCUUGUAGUC
rnacentral:rRNA from 1 species